rnacentral:rRNA from 1 species
CCUGGCCUUGACAUACUAAGAACUUUCCAGAGAUGGAUUGGUGCCUUCGGGAACUUAGAUACAGGUGCUGCAUGGCUGUCGUCAGCUCGUGUCGUGAGAUGUUGGGUUAAGUCCCGCAACAAGCGCAACCCUUUUCCUUAUUUGCCAGCGGGUUAAGCCGGGAACUUUAAGGAUACUGCCAGUGACAAACUGGAGGAAGGCGGGGACGACGUCAAGUCAUCAUGGCCCUUACGGCCAGGGCUACACACGUGCUACAAUGGUCGGUACAAAGGGUUGCUACCUCGCGAGAGGAUGCUAAUCUCAAAAAGCCGAUCGUAGUCCGGAUCGCAGUCUGCAACUCGACUGCGUGAAGUCGGAAUCGCUAGUAAUCGCGGAUCAGAAUGCCGCGGUGAAUACGUUCCCGGGCCUUGUACACACCGCCCGUCACACCAUGGGAGUUUGUUGCACCAGAAGUAGGUAGUCUAACCGCAAGGAGGACGCUUACCACGGUGUGGCCGAUGACUGGGGUGAAGUCGUAACAAGGUAGGCGUAGAUGA